GCUCUUAGUGAUGCUUCCUAAUGUCCAUUUGACUUCACAUUCAAGGAUGUCUGGUUCUAGGAAAAGAUAAGUCUUUUGGAGAAAAUGAACUUAUACCAGAACGCAUACUUUGGAGGAGUCUACAGCGCUUCUGAUGAGCAGUGGUUUGUAUUCCCACUGCCCCUGGAGGCCCCAGGCACCCACUCCUCACUGCAGCUCCGCUAUUGGCGGAACCUCCACUCAAAACACAGGGGAUCCCACAGGGGCCCCUCCCUCUAACAACAGUGGACUGAAUGGCUCACAGUAAAAUUAAGUAUGAUUAGCUUUUGGAUCAAACACUGGUUUGGAGUACCCAAAGCUUCCAUUUAUUGGAAUGGAUAAUUGUGAGUUGGCUAGUUUUAUGAGCAUGGUUACUGAUUGAGAAGAAUGAAUUUCAUCAAAACCAUACAAGCACAUCCUUAUCACCUAUCUCUGGAGCAGUGACACAUGCUGUGGGGGGACAUGGAGACGUGCUGUCCUCACUUCCCUUCAAGGACUUGCUGUUCAGCUGCUGGAAGUGCUGCCACUGGGCAGUCUUCAGUCACCAGUUUUUCUGAAGGCAGCCUCUAUGCAAUGUCCUGUCCAGGUAGAGAUAUAAAGCCCUGGCCAGUGGACAGGUCAGGAUAACCUUGAAGGGCCGUCUUCACUCCAGAGCCCCCACAGGGUCAGGUAAGGUUGCCUGGCUAGUAUUCCAGCUUGACUUUUUCUCUCUGUAUCCUUAUUCCAUUUCUUCCCUCUUCAUUCCACAAGUGUUGAUGCCAGGGGCACCCCUAAUACGCAUCCCAACACUUAUCAGCAUCCACGUCUGCAACCCAGAGAACCAACCUGCACGAGGUAUCAAAAAACAUUCCAGUACUUGGGGAGGAUUUUUAUUUGAACAUUACUGUUUAUAUAUAUAACAUUUUUAAAUUGCCAAAUAAAAUGGUGGAAACAA